rnacentral:rRNA from 1 species
UACGUAGGGGGCAAGCGUUGUCCGGAUUUAUUGGGCGUAAAGAGCGUGUAGGCGGCCAGACAGGUCAGCUGUGAAAACUCGAGGCUCAACCUCGAGACGUCGGUUGAAACCGUCUGGCUAGAGUCCGGAAGAGGAGAGUGGAAUUCCCGGUGUAGCGGUGAAAUGCGUAGAUAUCUGGAGGAACACCGGUGGCGAAGGCGGCAUCCUGGACCGAGAUUGACGCUGAUGCGCGAAAGCCAGGGGAGCAAACGGG